UACGUAGGGUGCGAGCGUUAAUCGGAAUUACUGGGCGUAAAGCGUGCGCAGGCGGUUAUGUAAGACAGGUGUGAAAUCCCCGGGCUUAACCUGGGAACUGCAUUUGUGACUGCAUAGCUAGAGUACGGUAGAGGGGAUGGAAUUCCGCGUGUAGCAGUGAAAUGCGUAGAUAUGCGGAGGAACACCGAUGGCGAAGGCAAUCCCUGGACCUGUACUGACGCUCAUGCACGAAAGCGUGGGGAGCAAACAGG
rnacentral:rRNA from 1 species